AACUCAAAGGAAUUGACGGGGGCCCGCACAAGCGGAGGAGCAUGUGGUUUAAUUCGAUGAUACGCGAGGAACCUUACCUGGGCUUAAAUGCUUAAUGACGUACUGGGAAACUGGUAUUUCUUCGGACAUUUUGCAAGGUGCUGCAUGGUUGUCGUCAGCUCGUGCCGUGAGGUGUCGGGUUAAGUCCCAUAACGAGCGCAACCCCUAUUGUUAGUUGCCAUCAGGUCAUGCUGGGGACUCUAACAAAACUGCCCGCGUAAGCGUGGAGGAAGGUGGGGAUGACGUCAAAUCAGCACGGCCCUUACGUCCAGGGCUACACACGUGCUACAAUGGCCGGUACAGAGGGCAGCCACUUGGUGACAAGGAGCAAAUCUCAAAAGCCGGUCUCAGUUCGGAUCGGAGUCUACAACUCGACUCCGUGAAGUUGGAUUCGCUAGUAAUCGUAGAUCAGCAAUGCUACGGUGAAUACGUUCCCGGGCCUU
rnacentral:rRNA from 1 species